rnacentral:rRNA from 1 species
CAGCCGCCGCGGGAAUACGGAGGGGGCUAGCGUUGUUCGGAAUUACUGGGCGUAAAGCGCACGUAGGCGGCUUGGUAAGUUAGAGGUGAAAGCCUGGAGCUCAACUCCAGAAUUGCCUUUAAGACUGCCGAGCUAGCAGGUGAGAGAGGUAAGUGGAAUUCCGAGUGUAGAGGUGAAAUUCGUAGAUAUUCGGAAGAACACCAGUGGCGAAGGCGGCUUACUGGCUCAUACUGGACGCUGAGGUGCGAAAGCGUGGGGAGCAAACAGGAUUAGAGACCCCGGUAGUCCCUGUCUCUUAUAC